rnacentral:rRNA from 1 species
GAAGCCUAGCUUGCUAGGUGGAUUAGUGGCGAACGGGUGAGUAAUACGUGAGUAACCUACCUUUAACUCUGGGAUAAGCCUGGGAAACUGGGUCUAAUACCGGAUACGACCAAUCUCCGCAUGGGGUGUUGGUGGAAAGCGUUAUGUAGUGGUUAUAGAUGGGCUCACGGCCUAUCAGCUUGUUGGUGAGGUAACGGCUCACCAAGGCGACGACGGGUAGCCGGCCUGAGAGGGUGACCGGCCACACUGGGACUGAGACACGGCCCAGACUCCUACGGGAGGCAGCAGUGGGGAAUAUUGCACAAUGGGCGCAAGCCUGAUGCAGCGACGCCGCGUGAGGGAUGACGGCCUUCGGGUUGUAAACCUCUGUUAGCAGGGAAGAAGAGAGAUUGACGGUACCUGCAGAGAAAGCGCCGGCUAACUACGUGCCAGCAGCCGCGGUAAUACGUAGGGCGCGAGCGUUGUCCGGAAUUAUUGGGCGUAAAGAGCUUGUAGGCGGUUUGUCGCGUCUGCUGUGAGAGGCCGGGGCUUAACUCCGUGUAUUGCAGUGGGUACGGGCAGACUAGAGUGCAGUAGGGGAGACUGGAAUUCCUGGUGUAGCGGUGGAAUGCGCAGAUAUCAGGAGGAACACCGAUGGCGAAGGCAGGUCUCUGGGCUGUAACUGACGCUGAGAAGCGAAAGCAUGGGGAGCGAACAGGAUUAGAUACCCUGGUAGUCCAUGCCGUAAACGUUGGGCACUA